CUUGCGGCAAAGCCUGUCGAAUUCACCUUUGUGAGCAGCCACCAUUGAAUCACCUUGAAGGAGAAGACAUUGUAACCAAGAGAAGAAAGAUCAGACCCGUUCUGGUAGAAUGAAGGAACGAUCGGGCAAAACAAAUCCAAUCGAUCUGAAACUUAGUGAUACGGAUCUGCGACCAGUGUGAGGAGUUGGAUUAUUUGGAUAGGCAAAUCAAUCUGGAUCGACCUGAAACUUUGCAGAGAUCUUAAGGAUACGUGUAUCUAGCUCUCAGUUAAAGGAGAACUGAUUUGAGUCUCAGAAUCAUUUGGAAUCGCGUUGUCAAUCUAGUGGAAAAGAUGGCUCCGCAAACCAGAAAGCCUGAGCCAGAGUUGUCUGUCACCCUGAGGUUCAUGGAGAGAAUGACCCCACCAUUGGGAGUGUGAAUGGGAAUGGAAUCCAUAUUGAGCAGCCACAUGUGAGUGUGAAUGGGAAUGGAAACCAGAAUGGAAAUAACCCUGCUCCAAUGCCACAUGUUGACUAUGCUGCCAGGAUGGAAGGGUUGAGGCAGUAUCAGGAGAGGUAUGGAUACCUCCAGAACGGACUGAACUCUCGUGUUAAUGGACACAACCAACACCAUCAGGUGCCACCCCCAGUGAACCCCCAAUAUCAGUAUCCCCAGUGCCACCGCAGGUGAAUCCCCAACACCAGCAGUUUGUGCCGCCACCUGUGUAUGUUCAACCGCCAGUGCCACCUCCAGCCCCCACCACCGCUUGCGCUAGUCUGUGCUCCAGGAUUGAGUUACUAUGAGGCCAUGAGGCAUUUGAAGGACAUGGGAAUAGAAUCAUUUGGAGAUCUUGUCUUUGCUGAUAACUGGAGGAAGAGGUUGGAGAGGAACUUUGAAGCCAUGAGGUGCCCAGAAGAUUAUCGGAAAGAUUUAGCUGUACAGUACCUUAAGGACGAGGCUUUGAUAUGGUGGGAAGGUGUGGUAGAAGGAACUCAAGCACGUUAUGAGUUCCAAUGGGAUGAUUUUAAGACCGAGUUUGCUAAUAAGUUCUUUCCACCGGAAGCUUUUUUAUCAGAUGGAGAGUGCUUUUGAGGAUCUUCGCCAAGGAAGCCUUACUGUGAGAGAAUACAAUGAAGAGUUCAACAGGUUGAGGAGGUUUUCCAGGAGACAUCUCACCCAAGCUGAUUUGGUUCACCAGUUUAUGAAAGGUUUGAAGAUGGAACUAAAAAUCCGGUUUUCUAUCCGGAAGUAUCCCAGUUUGGUGGAGCUAGUGGAGACAGCUGCCAUCCAGAAAGCUUUAAUUCAGGAGCAUAUGAGGACCAAAAAUGCUCUAGCUCAUCAUGCAUCACAUGCUCAAAGGGUAUUAAAACGGAUUUGGGAUGACAUGACAGCGGUUAAGACUACCAAAAAUGCUCCAAUGUGCAGCCGCUGCAGAAAGAAACAUAAUGGACCAUGUGGGUGGGCCAAGUGUUAUGGAUGUGGGAAAACAGGUCAUCUCAAACGAGACUGCCCUUUGCAAGGGAAGUUUCCAAGAUGUCUCCAUUGUGGGCAAAUGGGUCACUUUGCAAGGGAAUGUAGAGCAGCACUUUCAAUGCCACAACAAGGAAGCAUGGUGCAAGGAGGAUUGCCUAAGCCACCGCCAGCCAAGAGACCUUGAUGAAGGAGCAUUGAUCGAGUAAGUAAAUCUCCUUAGGACGUCCAUCCAUGUUCUUUGUGAAAUUUGUGUGUGAUAAUGGAAGUUGCCUACUUAACCAUUAGUAUAAAUCGUGAAAAUUCGGUUUCAAUAGGGUCAGAUAGCUUUCACUUUGUUCCUUAGAAGCAGAAUGAAUGCAACUUGGAUAGUUGCAGAGUGGAUUGAGUUCCAAAAAAUAGCAUAUAUGUAUCAAAGAGCGGAAUAACCCAUAUAGUCAAGUGUAACUUUAAAAUAAGUCUUAGAUAAUGGUUGUGCUGAUCGCAAGCUGGAAAUUAAAGGCAAGGAUAAAUUCUCACUGUCAAAUGUACGAUGGAAUUAGAGCACCACCCACCCUUCCCCGAUUGAGAUGAGAGGCAAGAACAUAUGGGCAUCAUCUAGGAGAAGGACACUCAAAAUUUUGGUUUAAAAACUACCUAGAACUCUUUAAGGACAAGGGUGAAACCGGAAGAGUAGAUUCGGAGACAAAUUCUUUGGAAAUAGGGGAGAGUUGUAACAUCCCUACCCCAGAAUACCAAAAAUCGGUUUGUUUUAAUUCUGGGUCUCUCUAAAAUAUGGGUCUAAAAGUCCAACCCAAAAACCUGCUAAACUAAUAGAAAAACCUAACCCUAGAGUUGUCUCACCUAUAUAAAUAGAGGGAGGACGUGGCAGAGAAGAGGCAUAGUGUUCCUCGCGAUGAAGCCCUGUCGAAUUCAUCUUUGAGCAGCCACCAUUGAAUCACCUUGAAGGAGAAGCCAUUGAAACCAAGAGAAGACAGAUCAGACCCGUUCUGGUAGAAAGAAAGAAUGAUUAGGCAAAACGGAUCCAAUCGAUCAAAAACUUGGUGAAUAUGUUCUUAACUUUUAAAUCUAACCAAUGCCGAAAAUUGUUAUUCGGAGUUCUGAGAUGAAAGUUAUGGAUGUUUUCCUAUGCUUAAUUUGUACAGUAUGGAUCUGCGACCAGUGUGAGGAGUUAGAUUAUUUGGAUAGACAAAUCAAUCUGGACUGACUUGAAACUUUGCAGAGAUCUUAAGGACACGUGGAUCUAGCUCUCAUUUGAAGGAGAACUGAUUUGAGUUUGAGAAUCAUUUGGAAUCGCGUUGUCAAUCCAGUGGCAAAGGUGAGGAUUAGAUCUUAGCUUUUUUCUAUGUUCUCUUAUCUUCUUCUAGUGUGUUGAGUCUAGGUAUACGCAAGUAUGCCGCGUGACGGUAUGCUUCUAUGUUGGAUAAUGUUAGAACUACAUCUUAUGAACGAAUAUGGAUUAGGAAACCAUUAGAUGAAGAACCAGCAUCCUUGUUUUAUAACCAUGUUGUGUGAUAUAAUGCGUGUAAAGUAGUUAGUAGUGUGAAAGCACUGUCUGUCACAAAGAUUGAGAGACCAUUGUGGUACAUAAUUGUGUGUUUGGGGCUGGACUUGGAGUGCAAGUCAAUUCUCACCGCCGGGAGGGUUUUAGCGAGCCCUUGUGAAGUGUCUUUGGAACAUAGAUCACUUUCAGGUGUGGAAUAAGUGUCUUUGGGACAUAGAUUACCUUCAGGUAUGGAUUAAUGAAGUGUCUUUGGAACAUAGAUUACUUUCGGAUAUGGAAUCAGAAGUGUCUUCGGGACAUAGAUUACCUUAAGGUAUGGUUGAGUUGUGGUUGGUGUGGUUGUGGAUCGGUCUCUCUUGUUUGUGUAGUUGUGUGGACGCUUCUAGAACAUGAUGUAGAAUUACUUGUUUAUUUCUAUACUUGGCAUGUUGGUGGAAUAUGAGCGGGUAUGGUGAGGAGUUUUAGGUUUAGUUCUCACUGAACAAUCCCAAUUGCUCUCUCUCUCUCUCUCUCUCUCUCUCUCUCUCUGAUGAGUUUAAGGAACUGGAAUAGUAAUUCUGGUGUCGUGCACGGAUUCAGGACAAGGAUGUUUUUAUUUG